GAACUGCGAUAAGUAAUGUGAAUUGCAGAAUUCAGUGAAUCAUCGAGUCUUUGAACGCACAUUGCGCCCCCUGGCAUUCCGGGGGGCAUGCCUGUCCGAGCGUCAUUGCUGCCCUUCAAGCCCGGCUUGUGUGUUGGGUCGUCGUCCCCUCCGGGGGACGGGCCCGAAAGGCAGCGGCGGCACCGCGUCCGGUCCUCGAGCGUAUGGGGCUUUGUCACCCGCUCGAUAAGGACCGGCCGGGCGCCAGCCGGCGUCUCCAACCUUUUUUUCUCAGGUUGACCUCGGAUCAGGUAGGGAUACCCGCUGAACUUAAUC
rnacentral:misc_RNA from 1 species